CCUACGGGUGGCAGCAGUGAGGAAUAGUGGUCAAUGGCCGGAAGGCUGAACCAGCCAAGCCGCGUGAGGGAGGAAGGCGCAGAGCGUCGCAGACCUCUUUUGCCGGGGGACAAAAGGCCGGACUCGUCCGGUCCUGAGGGGACCCGGAGAAAAAGCAUCGGCUAACUCCGUGCCAGCAGCCGCGGUAAUACGGAGGAUGCGAGCGUUCUCCGGAUUCAGUGGGUUUACAGGGUGCGUAGAGGGGUUGUUAAGUCAGUUGUGAAAGUUUGCGGCUCAACCGUAAAAUUGCAAUUGAUACUGGCAGUCUUGCGUACAGUUGAGUUAGGCGGACUUCGUGGUGUAGCGGUGACAUUCUUAGAUAUCACGAAGAACUCCGAUUGCGACGGCAGCUUACUACACUGCCACUGACAUUGAUGCUCGAACGUGUGGGUAUCAAACAGGAUUAGCUACCCCGGUAGUC
rnacentral:rRNA from 1 species